GAGUUUGAUCAUGGCUCAGAAUCAACGCUGGCGGCGUGCCUCAGACAUGCAAGUCGAACGAUUAAAGCUCUCUUCGGAGAGUGCAUAGAGUGGCGCACGGGUGAGUAACACGUAAGUAAUCUACCCUCGAGUGGGGAAUAACAACCGGAAACGGUUGCUAAUACCGCAUAAUGCAGCGGCACCGCAAGGUGACAGUUGUUAAAGAUUUAUCGCUUGAGGAGGAGCUUGCGGCAGAUUAGCUAGUUGGUAAGGUAAUGGCUUACCAAGGCUACGAUCUGUAACCGGUCUAAGAGGACGGUCGGUCACACUGACACUGAGUAACGGGUCAGACUCCUACGGGAGGCAGCAGUCGGGAAUUUUGGGCAAUGGGCGAAAGCCUGACCCAGCAACGCCGCGUGAAGGAUGAAGUAUUUCGGUAUGUAAACUUCGAAAGAAUAGGAAGAAUAAAUGACGGUACUAUUUAUAAGGUCCGGCUAACUACGUGCCAGCAGCCGCGGUAAUACGUAGGGACCAAGCGUUGUUCGGAUUUACUGGGCGUAAAGGGCGCGUAGGCGGUGUUGUAAGUCACUUGUGGAAUCUCUGAGCUUAACUCAGAACGGCCAAGUGAUACUGCAGCACUAGAGUGCAGAAGGGGCAAUCGGAAUUCUUGGUGUAGCGGUGAAAUGCGUAGAUAUCAAGAGGAACACCUGAGGUGAAGACGGGUUGCUGGGCUGACACUGACGCUGAGGCGCGAA
rnacentral:rRNA from 1 species